GCCCCGUCUGCCGGAGACCUACUCGCAAGGUGACCUCGGAUCAGGCAGGGAUACCGCU
rnacentral:rRNA from 1 species